ensembl:lncRNA
ACUACACCUGUUGUAUUCAGCAUUUCACUGUAAGGUCUACCUACACCUGUUGUAUUCAGCAUUUCACUGUAAGGUCUACUACACCUGUUGUAUUCAGCAUUUCACUGUAAGGUCUACCUACACCUGUUGUAUUCAGCAUUUCACUGUAAGGUCUACUACACCUGUUGUAUUCAGCAUUUCACUGUAAGGUCUACCUACACCUGUUGUAUUCAGCAUUUCACUGUAAGGUCUACUACACCUGUUGUAUUCAACAUUUCACUGUAAGGUCUACUACACCUGUUGUAUUCAGCAUUUCACUGUAAGGUCUACUACACCUGUUGUAUUCAGCAUUUCACUGUAAGGUCUACUACACCUGUUGUAUUCAGC